rnacentral:rRNA from 1 species
ACUCAAUAGAUACCCAGGUAGUCCUGGCCUUAAACGAUGAUCACUAGGUGUAGGAGGCUUCGACCCCUUCUGCGCCGCCGCUAACGCAUUAAGUGAUCCGCCUGGGGAGUACGGCCGCAAGGUUAAAACUCAAAGGAAUUGACGGGGGCCCGCACAAGCAGUGGAGCAUGUGGUUUAAUUCGAUGCUACGCGAAAAACCUUACCAGGGUUUGACAUCCCGGUGAAACCCCAUAGAAAUAUGGGGCCCCUUCGGGCACCGGUGACAGGUGGUGCAUGGUUGUCGUCAGCUCGUGCCGUGAGGUGUUGGAUUAAGUUCCGCAACGAGCGCAACCCUCGUUGCUAGUUGCCAUCAUUAAGUUGGGCACUCUAGCGAGACUGCCAGCGUCAAGCUGGAGGAAGGUGGGGAUGACGUCAAAUCAUCAUGCCCCUUACAUCCUGGGCUACACACGUGCUACAAUGGCCGGUACAACAGGUUGCUACCUCGCGAGAGGAUGCGAAUCCCCAAAGCCGGUCUCAGUUCGGAUUGCAGGCU